GGACAAUUAUAUGCUGGGCAGAAUCUGUCAUCAUGUUAUAAAUUAUCUCUCAGUCAUGGCUGAACAGAGGGAAUGCCCUGAGGAAUGCCACGAAGCUAUCUCCACUUUAAUCUUUUCUGCAACAAGCUUUCCUGAUCUGCCAGAAAUGCACGACCUAAUGAUUCUAUAUGUGCCAAAUGGUGUUUGGCAAUAGGUGUAGCACCUAUCAAUCAGGUAGCUUGACUAAACCAGAUAAAGCAAACGAUGGAAUUUUUGGAUUUGGGCAAAAUGGUCUUUCUAUUGUAUCACAAUUGUCUUCAAGAGGAAUUACUCCACAAUUCUUUUCACAUUGCUUAAAGGGAUAUGGAAUGGGUGGUGGAAAGCUUGUUCUUGGUGAUAUUUUGGCCCUGACUAUGGUUUAUAGUCCCCUUGUCCCAUCACAGCCUCAUUACAAUCUUGAUCUACAAUGUAUUUCGGUCAACGGUGUUGACCAUUGACCCAACAGCUUUCGCCACAUCAGAUAACCAAGGAACCAUUGUUGAUACAGGAACAACUUUGACAUACCUUGUUGCAGAAGCUUUUGACCCUUUUGUUAAUUCUAUAACUGUUGCUGUUUCACAAUUAACAACACCUGUCAUCUCAAAGGGGAAGUUAUUUAGUUACACCAAGCAUAAAUGGGAUUUUUCCUGAGGUUUCCUUAAAGUUUGUUGGUGGUGCUUCCAUGAUUCUUAAACCUAAAAACUACCUUGUACAUGGGGAUCCUGUUGUACACCAUGGUGUAUUGGCUUUCAAACAGUCCAGAAUGGUGUGUCAAUUCUUGGAGGUUAGUUAAAAUAUAGUAAUUGACAAUUUUACCCUCAAGACUCUACUUAUUGUAUAGACUUAUUUUUUUUUUCUUCUUGUGGCAUUUUAUAAAUGAGACAAAAUUCAAUGAAAAUGUUGACAUUGGUUUUAAAAUUCAAUUAACUCCUAUUUUUGCAAAAAGAUCAAAAUACCCUUAUCAUCUUUUUUUAAAUAAGACAAUGGUUUAUUAAUUUUUCAUAUUUAUUGAAAUCUUAUAUGUUUAUUAUAUUUUUUUCUUAUCACUUCUUUUCAAAUUUAUUGAUAUCUUAUAUGGUGAUUAUUAUCUUAAAUUACGUAUGAUUUUAUCUAUUUUUGUAAUUAUAUUUCAUAUUUAUUGAAAUCUUAUAUGUUUAUUAUUUUUUUUUCUUAUCCGAAUUCGUUUCAAAUUUAUUGUGAUAUCUUAUAUGGUAACUAUUAUCUCUUAAACUAGGAAAUGUUUUUUAAAAAUCAUUAGAUUGCUGAUUGCAUCAGACUGGAAAUUUCUACAUUUAUGUUUUCUAUGAAAACAAAAACAAUAAACCAAAGCAUUCAUUUCAAUUUCAGGCUCACAACAGCAGUUACAAUUUAUAAUAUACCA